UGAUGUGUAGGAUAGGUGGGAGGCUUUGAAACGUGGACGCCAGUCUGCGUGGAGCCGACCUUGAAAUACCACCCUUUAAUGUUUGAUGUUCUAACGUGGACCCGUGAUCCGGGUUGCGGACAGUGUCUGGUGGGUAGUUUGACUGGGGCGGUCUCCUCCUAAAGAGUAACGGAGGAGCACGAAGGUUGGCUAAUCCUGGUCGGACAUCAGGAGGUUAGUGCAAUGGCAUAAGCCAGCUUGACUGCGAGCGUGACGGCGCGAGCAGGUGCGAAAGCAGGUCAUAGUGAUCCGGUGGUUCUGAAUGGAAGGGCCAUCGCUCAACGGAUAAAAGGUACUCCGGGGAUAACAGGCUGAUACCGCCCAAGAGUUCAUAUCGACGGCGGUGUUUGGCACCUCGAUGUCGGCUCAUCACAUCCUGGGGCUGAAGUAGGUCCCAAGGGUAUGGCUGUUCGCCAUUUAAAGUGGUACGCGAGCUGGGUUUAGAACGUCGUGAGACAGUUCGGUCCCUAUCUGCCGUGGGCGCUGGAGAACUGAGGGGGGCUGCUCCUAGUACGAGAGGACCGGAGUGGACGCAUCACUGGUGUUCGGGUUGUCAUGCCAAUGGCACUGCCCGGUAGCUAAAUGCGGAAGAGAUAAGUGCUGAAAGCAUCUAAGCACGAAACUUGCCCCGAGAUGAGUUCUCCCUGAGACUUUAGGUCUCCUGAAGGAACGUUGAAGACGACGACGUUGAUAGGCCGGGUGUGUAAGCGCAGCGAUGCG
rnacentral:rRNA from 1 species